CCUACGGGUGGCAGCAGUGAGGAAUAUUGGUCAAUGGCCGUAAGGCUGAACCAGCCAAGUAGCGUGAGGGAAGACUGCCCUAUGGGUUGUAAACCUCUUUUAUGCGGGGAUAAAGGUGUCCACGUGUGGAUGUUUGCAGGUACCUCAUGAAUAAGGCCCGGCUAGUUCCGUGCCAGCAGCCGCGGUAAUACGGAAUGUCCGGGCGUUAUCCGGAUUUAUGGGGUUUAAAGGGAGCGUAGGCCGGUCUUUCAGCGUGCCGUGAAAUUUUGUGGCUCAACCAUGGGAGUGCGGCGCGAACUGGAGAUCUUGAGUGUGCGGAAGGCAGGCGGAAUUCGUGGUGUAGCGGUGAAAUGCGUAGAGAUCACGAAGAACA
rnacentral:rRNA from 1 species